rnacentral:rRNA from 1 species
CAAUGGGCGAAAGCCUGAUGCAGCGACGCCGCGUGAGGGAUGACGGCCUUCGGGUUGUAAACCUCUUUCAGCAGGGAAGAAGCGCAAGUGACGGUACCUGCAGAAGAAGCGCCGGCUAACUACGUGCCAGCAGCCGCGGUAAUACGUAGGGCGCAAGCGUUGUCCGGAAUUAUUGGGCGUAAAGAGCUCGUAGGCGGUCUGUCGCGUCGGAUGUGAAAGCCCGGGGCUUAACCCCGGGUCUGCAUUCGAUACGGGCAGACUAGAGUGUGGUAGGGGAGAUCGGAAUUCCUGGUGUAGCGGUGAAAUGCGCAGAUAUCAGGAGGAACACCGGUGGCGAAGGCGGAUCUCUGGGCCAUUACUGACGCUGAGGAGCGAAAGCGUGGGGAGCGAACAGGAUUAGAUACCCUGGUAGUCCACGCCGUAAACGGUGGGAACUAGGUGUUGGCGACAUUCCACGUCGUCGGUGCCGCAGCUAACGCAUUAAGUUCCCCGCCUGG